GGUGAACGCUGGCGGCGUGCCUAAUACAUGCAAGUCGAGCGAACAGAUAAGGAGCUUGCUCCUUUGACGUUAGCGGCGGACGGGUGAGUAACACGUGGGUAACCUACCUAUAAGACUGGGAUAACUUCGGGAAACCGGAGCUAAUACCGGAUAACAUUUGGAACCGCAUGGUUCUAAAGUGAAAGAUGGUUUUGCUAUCACUUAUAGAUGGACCCGCGCCGUAUUAGCUAGUUGGUAAGGUAACGGCUUACCAAGGCGACGAUACGUAGCCGACCUGAGAGGGUGAUCGGCCACACUGGAACUGAGACACGGUCCAGACUCCUACGGGAGGCAGCAGUAGGGAAUCUUCCGCAAUGGGCGAAAGCCUGACGGAGCAACGCCGCGUGAGUGAUGAAGGGUUUCGGCUCGUAAAACUCUGUUAUUAGGGAAGAACAAAUGUGUAAGUAACUGUGCACGUCUUGACGGUACCUAAUCAGAAAGCCACGGCUAACUACGUGCCAGCCGCCGCUGUAA
rnacentral:rRNA from 1 species